UGCGUAGGCGGAUUUAUAAGUCAGUGGUGAAAUCCUACAGCUUAACUGUAGAACUGCCAUUGAUACUGUAGAUCUUGAGUACGGUUGAGGUGGGCGGAAUGUGUCAUGUAGCGGUGAAAUGCUUAGAUAUGACACAGAACACCAAUUGCGAAGGCAGCUCGCUAAACCGUAACUGACGCUGAGGCACGAAAGCGUGGGGAGCGAACAGGAUUAGAUACCCUGGUAGUC
rnacentral:rRNA from 1 species